CCCUAGCCCCGAUGGCAGUGGAAAUCCUUUUUGCGCUUACAAAGCGCAAAAAGAUUGCAACGUACAGCGGGAAACAGC
rnacentral:sRNA from 1 species